CAGGCCUAACACAUGCAAGUCGAACGAGCUGAGACCUUCGGGUCUCGAUGCUAGUGGCGCACGGGUGAGUAACGCGUGGGAACGUACCCUUUAGUACGGAAUAACCAAGGGAAACUUUGGCUAAUACCGUAUACGCCCUUCGGGGGAAAGAUUUAUCGCUAAAGGAUCGGCCCGCGUCUGAUUAGGUAGUUGGUGAGGUAACGGCUCACCAAGCCGACGAUCAGUAGCUGGUCUGAGAGGAUGAUCAGCCACACUGGGACUGAGACACGGCCCAGACUCCUACGGGAGGCAGCAGUGGGGAAUAUUGGACAAUGGGCGAAAGCCUGAUCCAGCCAUGCCGCGUGAGCGAAGAAGGCCUUCGGGUUGUAAAGCUCUUUCGACGGGGACGAUGAUGACGGUACCCGUAUAAGAAGCCCCGGCAAACUUCGUGCCAGCAGCCGCAGUAACAC
rnacentral:rRNA from 1 species